AUCUGAGCUGUUUCACAUAGCUGUGCAACAAAAGAGUGAGAAAAUCAUCUGGAAAACACAUGCAAGAUAGAGGCAGGGCUUCGAACUGACUGUGCAAGGUCGGAUUAAAAGAAUCUCAUGGAGCAGCUCUGCGAAGGGAAGCUGGCUUGUUUCACUUUGUGACGUGUCAGGAGGAUGCAAAUGACAGACCAUACUCAGGCUGAGCACAAAGCCUGGGCAAAGCAUAAAAUAGCCUUUGCUAAAGUGCCCCCUGGAUCUCAGAGUCCUAGAGAGUGAAGAAGGGAAUGGAGUUUUGGCCACCAAUGAGGACAGCAGAUUGUGCCUUACUGCAUGCCCACCGCAGCCCACGUGAGCACACAGAGCUCUCAGUUUUGUUCAGAAACUGCGAUGAGGCCAAUGGAUCAGCUGUCAAACUAUUGCUUCCUGCUGCAAGCACCAUUAAAAAUUGAUUGUCUUGAGCUAAGAUGAUUUUGUUUGAGGCCAUGUGCAGAUGCAGUGGAAGAAUAAAUGCAGCCUACAAUAGCACUGGGAAAAGAGCUUAUAAGAGUCUAUUUCUGUUGCAUUCCUCUUAAUUUGCUCACAAAGGGCACAAAAGAAGUGAAAGAAGCCAAAUGGGAAGAGAUGUGAAAGGUAAAGCAAUAUGAGAGUCCUGAAAAGAUGGGAAAAAACUUUGACCGUACUGGACUGACUCGAGAUGUUUGUCCACGUGCAUGAUAAUGAACUCCUCUCUUCCAUGAGUAACACAGUUGUAAUCAAUAAAGAUACUCAUAUGAGUAAAACACAAAAUAUUAAGCUCUCAGGCAGACGUUAAUCUAUCAGUAGGGGCAGCAAUGUGUGUGCUCAAUCUCUCUUUUGGGUAAAUGAGUGAUAGUCAGAUCUGCAGCAAAUUAUGGAUGCAAGAUGAAAUCUUUGUGUGACUAAAAGUGUGGAUCUGGAAUGGCGGAACCCAGAGGCUUCAUGAGAGGUGCAAGGCAAGAUGAACAUCAGCAUGUUGUGAUACUCUAUUCUGUAGAAAACACUGAGGAAUUGGGAAUAGGAGAAAUUCAUUCCACUCAAAAUCCUAGAGUAUAUAAUAUACAGGCUUGUUGUCAGCUCAUUCAUGCAUUCUGUGGAGUGCAAGAUUUAUGUUCACUGUCACAGCUGUAUACUUUUGUUUACCCAUGAGACACACAAAACAAGCUUGGGACCACAGCUGGAAAUCAGUAAUGGAGGUACUCCUCCCAAGACAAAGACAAUCACAUGCAAACUGACAUUAAUUAUCAUUAUUCUGAUUAGAUUAAGUUAUCAAAAAAUGAUUAGAAAUACCUGGUUUCAAAUCUAUGGUAAAAUAUCCAAGAGCAGCAGUGAGCAUCAGCCCUGGAAUACAGUGGACAAAACUGCUAGGUUUUCCAGAUAUUGAAACAGGAGAACUUUCAGCCUGAAGUGGAUGUGGGGUUGUCGGAGCUUCUGAGUGUUAGGAGAAAACCAUAAACCUUUCCCAGUUUGUUGCUGACGUACUCUGAAUGCUCUUGAGGAUUUCUUUAUUCCAAAUUUCAUUUCCACUCCUUCUUCUCAUCUGACAUCUAUUUUGUUACCCAUACAGGUGGAAUUCUCUGUGAAAUUCAUGUGUUUCUGUCAGCACACCCAAAGAAGGCAGCGCAAACAAUAAAUAUGAAUGGUAGGCCCAGAAAGAUCAUUAAUAUAAUACCCAUUUCUUCCCCUGUUCUAAGUGUUUUGACCUUUCCCAAAGGAAAGGAAAUACAUUCUGAGUAAAUAAAAAAAACAUCUUGCAAACAGCUUCACAUGAAUUCCCUUCCUGAUAUCAUCACAACCUUCGUAAUCAGAUAUUGGUAAUCUUAUAAGCUAGUGAUUACACAGAUUCCCUACAUUUGAACAGAGUCACCCAGUUCCUCAGGGAAAGGUAUGUAGAUUGAGAGGAACAAUACCCUUUUGCCAGCAGAACUGGCAGUCCUGUCAGCAUUUCGGAAAUGAAUUACUCUUGAUUACCCACUCAUUUCCAGAGGUGAGAUUUUCAUGUCAGCAAUGAGGCACAUCUCGUGUGAGGACUGAUUUUCCAAUCCUGAAGAAUCAGAAAGUUUCAGUCUCCCGGUCUGUCAGACAAAGAUGUUCCACACACUGAGUUACUGUUUCACUCUGUCAGUCUUACUGAAGAAUCCUUGGACGUUACACUUCAAAGCGUGCAAAGCAAAAGUAGGAAGGAUAAAGGGAAGAAGAUGCUAUAAGAGUAUUUGUAAACUCUAAAAUAGUUCUAUGGUGCUGAAUAUUCUGCUGUGAUGUGGGAUACACAGACCCAAACUCUUACCCAGAGACAAAUCAAAGACUUAGAAGUUGGAAUUCAGCACCUCAGAUUCUUGGUUUUCUCUCUUAAACGAGGGAGCUAGCCAAAUCAUCAUUCUUCAGAAGGAAAUAGCGGAUCUACAAGCCAGCCAGUGGUCAGCCAUUCAUCUUCCAUUCUGUCACAGGGAACAAGAAAUAAAGAAGGGACUUUCUUGAGCAAAAUGUUCAGUUUAAUGAAUACAAUUUCCUUUUAUGACAAAGUUACCCAAAGGGAAGCC